rnacentral:rRNA from 1 species
GCCCCUACGGGACGCAGCAGUGGGGAAUAUUGGGCAAUGGGCGCAAGCCUGACCCAGCAACGCCGCGUGAAGGAAGAAGGCUUUCGGGUUGUAAACUUCUUUUCUCAGGGACGAAGAAAAUGACGGUACCUGAGGAAUAAGCCACGGCUAACUACGUGCCAGCAGCCGCGGUAAUACGUAGGUGGCAAGCGUUAUCCGGAUUUACUGGGUGUAAAGGGCGUGUAGGCGGGAAAGCAAGUCAGAUGUGAAAUCCACGG